rnacentral:rRNA from 1 species
CAGGAUGAAUGCUGGCGGCAUGCCUAAUACAUGCAAGUCGAGCGGUAACAGGACUAGCUUGCUAGUUGCUGACGAGCGGCGGACGGCUGAGUAACGCAUGGGAACGCACCCCAAACUGAGGGAUAACUAGUCGAAAGAUUAGCUAAUACCGCAUGUGAUCUUCGGAUUAAAGCCUUCGGGCGGUUUGGGAGCGGCCUGUGUACGAUUAGAUAGUUGGUGAGGUAAUGGCUCACCAAGUCGACGAUCGUUAGAUGGUUUGAGAGGAUGAUCAUCCAGACUGGAACUGAGACACGGUCCAGACUCCUACGGGAGGCAGCAGUAGGGAAUCUUUCACAAUGGGCGAAAGCCUGAUGGAAGCAAUGCCGCGUGCAGGACGAAGGCCUUCGGGUUGUAAACUGCUUUUAUAAGCGAGGAAUAUGACGGUAACUUAUGAAUAAGGAUCGGCUAACUACGUGCCAGCCGCAGC